rnacentral:lncRNA from 1 species
GUCCAGUGGCCCCACCAGGCAAGCUGCGGCUGUUGCUCCUGGAGGGCCCCACGGCCUAGGGAAGUCAGCUUCACAGAAGUCUACGUGUCUAAGCCCCAGCUCCUGUGCAAAGCAAGGAGGAGAGAGCAUGUGGAGGAUUGUGCCUGCCUGUCUUUGCUCAGCCAAGGAGUCAUCACUGGUCAGAACUGGCCCAACCUAAUUGCAAGGCUUCUGGAAUAGCUGAGGUGGGGAACUGAGACCCAGAGAGAGGCCCCAAGACACACUGGAGGUUGCAGUGGAAGGCCCUUUGCACCCCACAUGCAGAACGUUUGAGGCAGUCUUGCCCAGAUUUCAUCCUCACCGUCUCCAGGUUGGUGCUUGCUCCAGCUGUUUCUAUUUUUCCUAGAGACCCAC